rnacentral:rRNA from 1 species
GAUGUGCCCAGAUGGGAUUAGCUAGUAGGUGGGGUAAUGGCUCACCUAGGCGACGAUCCCUAGCUGGUCUGAGAGGAUGACCAGCCACACUGGAACUGAGACACGGUCCAGACUCCUACGGGAGGCAGCAGUGGGGAAUAUUGCACAAUGGGCGCAAGCCUGAUGCAGCCAUGCCGCGUGUAUGAAGAAGGCCUUCGGGUUGUAAAGUACUUUCAGCGGGGAGGAAGGUGUUGAGGUUAAUAACCUCAGCAAUUGACGUUACCCGCAGAAGAAGCACCGGCUAACUCCGUGCCAGCAGCCGCGGUAGUACGGAGGGUGCAAGCGUUAAUCGGAAUUACUGGGCGUAAAGCGCACGCAGGCGGUCUGUCAAGUCGGAUGUGAAAUCCCCGGGCUCAACCUGGGAACUGCAUUCGAAACUGGCAGGCUAGAGUCUUGUAGAGGGGGGUAGAAUUCCAGGUGUAGCGGUGAAAUGCGUAGAGAUCUGGAGGAAUACCGGUGGCGAAGGCGGCCCCCUGGACAAAGACUGACGCUCAGGUGCGAAAGCGUGGGGAGCAAACAGGAUUAGAUACCCUGGUAGUCCACGCC